GGGUUGUGAGGUUAAGCGACUAAGCGUACACGGUGGAUGCCCUGGCAGUCAGAGGCGAUGAAGGACGUGCUAAUCUGCGAUAAGCGUCGGUAAGGUGAUAUGAACCGUUAUAACCGGCGAUUUCCGAAUGGGGAAACCCAGUGUGUUUCGACACACUAUCAUUAACUGAAUCCAUAGGUUAAUGAGGCGAACCGGGGGAACUGAAACAUCUAAGUACCCCGAGGAAAAGAAAUCAACCGAGAUUCCCCCAGUAGCGGCGAGCGAACGGGGAGCAGCCCAGAGCCUGAAUCAGUGUGUGUGUUAGUGGAAGCGUCUGGAAAGGCGCGCGAUACAGGGUGACAGCCCCGUACACAAAAAUGCACAUGCUGUGAGCUCGAUGAGUAGGGCGGGACACGUGGUAUCCUGUCUGAAUAUGGGGGGACCAUCCUCCAAGGCUAAAUACUCCUGACUGACCGAUAGUGAACCAGUACCGUGAGGGAAAGGCGAAAAGAACCCCGGCGAGGGGAGUGAAAAAGAACCUGAAACCGUGUACGUACAAGCAGUGGGAGCACGCUUAGGCGUGUGACUGCGUACCUUUUGUAUAAUGGGUCAGCGACUUAUAUUCUGUAGCAAGGUUAACCGAAUAGGGGAGCCGAAGGGAAACCGAGUCUUAACUGGGCGUUAAGUUGCAGGGUAUAGACCCGAAACCCGGUGAUCUAGCCAUGGGCAGGUUGAAGGUUGGGUAACACUAACUGGAGGACCGAACCGACUAAUGUUGAAAAAUUAGCGGAUGACUUGUGGCUGGGGGUGAAAGGCCAAUCAAACCGGGAGAUAGCUGGUUCUCCCCGAAAGCUAUUUAGGUAGCGCCUCGUGAAUUCAUCUCCGGGGGUAGAGCACUGUUUCGGCAAGGGGGUCAUCCCGACUUACCAACCCGAUGCAAACUGCGAAUACCGGAGAAUGUUAUCACGGGAGACACACGGCGGGUGCUAACGUCCGUCGUGAAGAGGGAAACAACCCAGACCGCCAGCUAAGGUCCCAAAGUCAUGGUUAAGUGGGAAACGAUGUGGGAAGGCCCAGACAGCCAGGAUGUUGGCUUAGAAGCAGCCAUCAUUUAAAGAAAGCGUAAUAGCUCACUGGUCGAGUCGGCCUGCGCGGAAGAUGUAACGGGGCUAAACCAUGCACCGAAGCUGCGGCAGCGACGCUUAUGCGUUGUUGGGUAGGGGAGCGUUCUGUAAGCCUGUGAAGGUGUGCUGUGAGGCAUGCUGGAGGUAUCAGAAGUGCGAAUGCUGACAUAAGUAACGAUAAAGCGGGUGAAAAGCCCGCUCGCCGGAAGACCAAGGGUUCCUGUCCAACGUUAAUCGGGGCAGGGUGAGUCGACCCCUAAGGCGAGGCCGAAAGGCGUAGUCGAUGGGAAACAGGUUAAUAUUCCUGUACUUGGUGUUACUGCGAAGGGGGGACGGAGAAGGCUAUGUUGGCCGGGCGACGGUUGUCCCGGUUUAAGCGUGUAGGCUGGUUUUCCAGGCAAAUCCGGAAAAUCAAGGCUGAGGCGUGAUGACGAGGCACUACGGUGCUGAAGCAACAAAUGCCCUGCUUCCAGGAAAAGCCUCUAAGCAUCAGGUAACAUCAAAUCGUACCCCAAACCGACACAGGUGGUCAGGUAGAGAAUACCAAGGCGCUUGAGAGAACUCGGGUGAAGGAACUAGGCAAAAUGGUGCCGUAACUUCGGGAGAAGGCACGCUGAUAUGUAGGUGAAGUCCCUCGCGGAUGGAGCUGAAAUCAGUCGAAGAUACCAGCUGGCUGCAACUGUUUAUUAAAAACACAGCACUGUGCAAACACGAAAGUGGACGUAUACGGUGUGACGCCUGCCCGGUGCCGGAAGGUUAAUUGAUGGGGUUAGCGCAAGCGAAGCUCUUGAUCGAAGCCCCGGUAAACGGCGGCCGUAACUAUAACGGUCCUAAGGUAGCGAAAUUCCUUGUCGGGUAAGUUCCGACCUGCACGAAUGGCGUAAUGAUGGCCAGGCUGUCUCCACCCGAGACUCAGUGAAAUUGAACUCGCUGUGAAGAUGCAGUGUACCCGCGGCAAGACGGAAAGACCCCGUGAACCUUUACUAUAGCUUGACACUGAACAUUGAGCCUUGAUGUGUAGGAUAGGUGGGAGGCUUAGAAGUGUGGACGCCAGUCUGCAUGGAGCCGACCUUGAAAUACCACCCUUUAAUGUUUGAUGUUCUAACGUUGACCCGUAAUCCGGGUUGCGGACAGUGUCUGGUGGGUAGUUUGACUGGGGCGGUCUCCUCCUAAAGAGUAACGGAGGAGCACGAAGGUUGGCUAAUCCUGGUCGGACAUCAGGAGGUUAGUGCAAUGGCAUAAGCCAGCUUGACUGCGAGCGUGACGGCGCGAGCAGGUGCGAAAGCAGGUCAUAGUGAUCCGGUGGUUCUGAAUGGAAGGGCCAUCGCUCAACGGAUAAAAGGUACUCCGGGGAUAACAGGCUGAUACCGCCCAAGAGUUCAUAUCGACGGCGGUGUUUGGCACCUCGAUGUCGGCUCAUCACAUCCUGGGGCUGAAGUAGGUCCCAAGGGUAUGGCUGUUCGCCAUUUAAAGUGGUACGCGAGCUGGGUUUAGAACGUCGUGAGACAGUUCGGUCCCUAUCUGCCGUGGGCGCUGGAGAACUGAGGGGGGCUGCUCCUAGUACGAGAGGACCGGAGUGGACGCAUCACUGGUGUUCGGGUUGUCAUGCCAAUGGCACUGCCCGGUAGCUAAAUGCGGAAGAGAUAAGUGCUGAAAGCAUCUAAGCACGAAACUUGCCCCGAGAUGAGUUCUCCCUGACUCCUUGAGAGUCCUGAAGGAACGUUGAAGACGACGACGUUGAUAGGCCGGGUGUGUAAGCGCAGCGAUGCGUUGAGCUAACCGGUACUAAUGAACCGUGAGGCUUAACCUUACAACGCCGAAG
rnacentral:rRNA from 1 species